rnacentral:rRNA from 1 species
GCCGCAGUAGCCUGACUGUGCUAAGGUAGCAUAAUCAUUUGGUUUUUUAUUGGGAUCUGGGAUGAAUGGAUAAAUAAGAAUGAGCUGUAUACUGGUAGGAUUUGAACUUAAAUUUUUAGUAAAAAUGCUAGAAUGAUUCUAUGGGACGAUAAGACCCUAUAAAGCUUUAUUCAGGUUGUUAUUGGUUACUUAACUAGUCUAAUAUGGUUUUGAAUUGAACUGGGGUGGUUGUUACUUAACUUAAUAUGUUGUGUUAGUUUUUAGAUCCAUUAGUAAUGAAGAUAGAUUAAGUUACUUUAGGGAUAACAGUAUAAUACACCCAUGGAGUUCUAAUCGAAGGGUGCGAUUGUUACCUCGAUGUUGAAUUAAUUUUAUUGUGAGGUGAAGAAGCUUCGCGAGUUAGUCUGUUCGACUAUUGAAUGAUUACAUGAUUUGAGUUCAAACCGGUUUAAG